rnacentral:rRNA from 1 species
GACGAACGCUGGCGGCGUGCUUAACACAUGCAAGUCGAACGGAAAGGCCCUGCUUUUGUUGGUUGCUCGAGUGGCGAACGCGUGAGUAACACGUGAGUAACCUGUCCUUGAAUUUGUGAUAACUCCUGGAAACUGGGGCUAAUACAGGAUAGGAGCUCCUGCUGCACGUUGGUGGUUGGUAAGAUACGGCGGUGGUGGCUGGACUCGCGGCUUAUCAGCCUGUUUGUGGGGUAGUGGCUUUCCAAGGCUUUGACGGGUAGCCGGCCUGAGAGGGUGACCGGCGACAUUGGGACUGAGGUACGGCCCAGUAGCCUACGGGAGGCAGAAGUGGGGAAUAUUGCGGAAUGGGCGGAAGCCUGAUGCAGCAACGCCGGGUGCGGGAUGAUGGCCUUCGGGUUGUAAACCGCUUUCGACUGUGACGAAGCGUGAGUGACGGUAAUUGGUAAAGAAGCACCGGCUAACUACGUG